CCUACGGGAGGCAGCAGUGGGGAAUAUUGGACAAUGGGCGAAAGCCUGAUCCAGCAAUGCCGCGUGAGUGAUGAAGGCCUUAGGGUUGUAAAGCUCUUUUACCAGGGAUGAUAAUGACAGUACCUGGAGAAUAAGCUCCGGCUAACUCCGUGCCAGCAGCCGCGGUAAUACGGAGGGAGCUAGCGUUGUUCGGAAUUACUGGGCGUAAAGCGUACGUAGGCGGUUAUUCAAGUCAGAGGUGAAAGCCUGGAGCUCAACUCCAGAACUGCCUUUGAAACUAGAUAGCUAGAAUCUUGGAGAGGUGAGUGGAAUUCCGAGUGUAGAGGUGAAAUUCGUAGAUAUUCGGAAGAACACCAGUGGCGAAGGCGACUCACUGGACAAGUAUUGACGCUGAGGUACGAAAGCGUGGGGAGCAAACAGGAUUAGAUACCCUGGUAGUCCACGCCGUAAACGAUGAUAACUAGCUGUUCGGGCUCUACGAGCUUGAGUGGCGCAGCUACGACAUAAGUUAUCCGCCGUCGGGAGGUACGGUCGCGAGAAUAAACUACAAUAGAGUAGUACGCGUGAGACGUCGCCGACGGACGACGACGAGGGAGGAGG
rnacentral:rRNA from 1 species